CCGGUUUUCUGGACUGGUUGCAGUAAUAAUCUUUGACCACGCGGGGCGCUCGUAGGCGUUAAAAACAUGCGAUGACGUCACACACUGUAAUACUGUCAGAGGUACUGCUUUACGGCAGUUUCUAAAGCACUUCCCUUUUCCGCAACGAUAACACCAGCUGUUGGAGUCGGACCUUGAUGCUGUGACAACGGACAAGUCUUCUUCCUCUGUCCUUUUCCCCUGCCUCUGUUCAGCAUGUUCAGUGUUGUUAAAUCAUUUCUCUUUUUUUUUAUUAGUUACUGUUCUUAUUGUGUUCUUGUUAGUGUGAUGUUUGAAUAAACUUGCAAUGUUGGUAUAAUGUUUGUAUAAUUACUGUUAUACAACUGUUACUGUUUCAAUGUGACCCAGACAAUAUUUCUCAUUUAACAAACAUGUAGCUUAUAAUGUGUUGCGUGGCAGAGCAAUUAUAUUCAAUGGCUUAAACAAACCCAUCUGUAAAGAUCAGUGAAUGCAUAGAAAUCAAUGACAAGUGGUGUAGAUGGUUUUCCCUCUGUGCAAGGUCAUUAGCCCAAGUCUAGUCUGGCUGAACGGAAGUGGACAGCGUCUAUUGCCUAGCGUCGGAUUUGGCCGCGACUCCUCCCCUUCCGGUUGCUGGCGUUCCCGUAUUGUGCUCCCCCUCAAACUCGGAAACUAGGCAGUAUGGCGAGUUUUGAAGAGGACUUUGACGGCGCUGUAAAGUUGGCAUGUUUGGCUCUUUCCGUCGAAAAUUGCAAAGAACUGCAAAAGAUUUGCUUACAGCAUUUGCUGAG
ensembl:lncRNA